AAGACUAUGCUUUCAGGGAUCAUUUCUAUAGUUUCUGACUUGGAAGUUUGAUCUGAAAGUGUAACGUCUCUCUAAGCACGAUGACGAGUUAAGAUGUUUUCUUCUGAGCGUCAAUCGGGUGGUGAGCGACGAGCGAGAUUGUCUGCUCUCUGUCGUUGAUGAAGGUUCCUGCUGUGCUUUGCAGGCUGGAAGAAGAAAGCAUGUUCAGAGUGGU
ensembl:snoRNA U3 Small nucleolar RNA U3